rnacentral:rRNA from 1 species
AACGCUGGCGGCGUGCUUAACACAUGCAAGUCGAGCGACAGUGUCUUCGGAACAUAUGGAGCGGCGAACGGGUGAGUAACACGUGGGCAACCUGCCCUCAGCUCUGGGAUAACUCCGGGAAACCGGGGCUAAUACCGGAUACGACCUGCUCUGGCAUCUGAGUGGGUGGAAAGUUCUUCGGCUGAGGAUGGGCCCGCGGCCUAUCAGCUUGUUGGUGGGGUAAUGGCCUACCAAGGCGACGACGGGUAGCCGGCCUGAGAGGGCGACCGGCCACACUGGGACUGAGACACGGCCCAGACUCCUACGGGAGGCAGCAGUGGGGAAUAUUGCGCAAUGGGCGGAAGCCUGACGCAGCGACGCCCGCGUGAGGGAUGACGGCCUUCGGGUUGUAAACCUCUUUCAGCAGGGACGAAGCGCAAGUGACGGUACCUGCAGAAGAAGCACCGGCCAACUACGUGCCAGCAGCUGC